UUACCGCCUUGACAGCGAGAGACUAGUUCGGACAGGUGCUGCAUGGCUGUCGUCAGCUCGUGUCGUGAGAUGUUGGGUUAAGUCCCGCAACGAGCGCAACCCCGGCUUAGUUGCCAUCAUUGGGACUCUAAGCAACUGCCGGUGAUAACCGGAGGAAGGUGGGGAUGACGUCAAGUCCUCAUGGCCCUUACGGCGGGCUACACACGUGCUACAAUGGGUGACAAGGGGCAGGGCAACCUUCGCAAUCUCAAAAACGUCUCAGUUCGGAUUGGGGUCUGCAACUCGACCCCAUGAAGUUGGAAUCGCUAGUAAUCGCAAUCAGCACGUGCGGUGAAUACGUUCCCGGGCCUUGUACACACCGCCCGUCACACCAUGGGAGUUGGUUACCGAA
rnacentral:rRNA from 1 species